CCGUCUAACAUAUUUGACAAUCACUGGUGUUCCUCAAUGCAUGACCACUUGUUUUGUUGAGAUUCCGCCUCCUUUUAGUAGCUUGGCAUGGUUAACCAUAGAUGCUAGUGUGGGGGGAUUAAUGGAGACUGUUAAUGGCAUAUUGCAAGGAUGCAGCUCGCUUAAUGUCUUACAAUUGAAGGGGAUGGAAAGUUGGGAAAAUCUACCGGAAUCGAUUCAAUAUCUCUCUACUCUUUCUUAUUUAAACUUGAUGAAUUUUGGAAUGGAAGAGUUACCUGAAUGGUUGGGGAACUUGUCAUCUCUAAGGGAGUUGCGUAUACAAAAUUGUAAGAAGUUAAGGCAUAUGGAUGCAAUGCGGCGCCUCACUGAAUUAGUCAGCUUAUAUAUAUAUUGAGGGAUGCCCAGAAAUAUGUGUUGAAGAAGCAAGUGAUGCAGCUGAUUCUCAAUGGCCCAACAUUUCCCAUCUCCCCGACAUCCAUAUUGAUGGACGCCUCAUCCAUCAUGAUGAGGAAGCUCGUGUUUGAGUUUGAGUUGCUUCGAGUGAGGUGGUGAAGGAGUGUGUGCCCAUUAAUUUUCUCCAACUUGAUGUCAACAUUCUUCAAAUUCCCACCGGUUUGGCAAUUGUUUGCUUUGUGUGUCUCUCACGCCGCAGUGGUGGCAGAAGGAGAUCAAGUAAAGACUUGUGUUAGAGUCAUGUCUGAAUUUGCUUACCAACAAACUUUGACCAUUGUAAUCAUUUAAUCCCUGUUUGUUGCAUGAAAAUUGUAAUGUGUAAGGUAUUUUAAGAUGUUUGGAUGGUUUCGUUGUAUUUUAUCGAAAAAGAUCCUCUGUUUUGUCUGACUACUAGAUUAUUGUCACUUUAAUUUAGUGAUGGAUUCAUAACUUCGA